GGUAAACAGGAGCGCGCCAGAGAGUGCGCGGCUCGGCGCCGAAGGAAUCCAUCGAGUUCGCCCCCAAGAAUUCGUGGGAGCUGCGGACAGGAGUGAGUUUUCGCCGCCGAUUCCGUCGCCGGCGACUGUGUCGGCAAGCGCCGAAGGUUCAGAGACCAGGGAUUGAACCAAUAAUAUACCGAGACCUUUUUCUGUUCCGCACUUUGGCUUCAUUUUUGAAUGGGAUUAGUCUUCAGAAAUUAGGGUGCAACGCAGAGCUUAUUGUUGAUGAAUUUGGUGAAAAACUUUUGGAAGAACUUGAUUACACUCUUGAAGCUACAAAUAUCGAGGAUUUCCUAGAAAAUUUUAAGGAUGAUCCAACUGUUAAGAUACCUCAAGUGUACAAGCAGCUCUCAGGUUCUCGUGUUCUGGUGAUGGAGUGGGGACGGCAAAGUGUUUCUUGAGAAAUUCUUGUGUGAUGGCUAAUGCGAUGUGGCUGCAUCGGCCGGUCUUCUUGGCUAGCCAGAGGGCUCUCAUCCACCAUGCCAGGCCUCCCUCUUCAAAAUUCUCCAGAUUUUUGCUCUCUGCAUGUGGAAUUUGGUGAUCGUCAUGUUU